rnacentral:rRNA from 1 species
GAUGAACGCUGGCGGCGUGCUUAACACAUGCAAGUCGAACGAGAAGUGAAGACGGAAACCUUCCGGCGGAAGGCUUUAUUUCGAGUGGCGAACGGGUGAGUAACGCGUGGGUAACCUGCCUCAUACAGGGGGAUAACAGUUGGAAACGACUGUUAAUACUGCAUAAGACCACAGCACCGCAUGGUGCGGGGGUAAAAACUCCUGUGGGAUGAGAUGGACUCGCUUUCGAUUAGCCAGUUGGCGGGGUAACGGCACACCAAAGCGACGAUCCAUAGCCGAACUGAGAGGCUGACCCGCCACAUUGGGACUGAGACACAGCCCAAACUCCUACGGGAGGCAGCAGUGGGGAAUAGUGCACAAUGGGGGAAACCAUGAUGCAGCGACGCCGCGUGAGUGAAGAAGUAUUUCGGUAUGAAAAGCGCUAUCAGCAGGGAAGAAAAUGACGGUACCUGAGGAAGAAGCCCCGGCUAACUACGUG